rnacentral:rRNA from 1 species
GACGAACGCUGGCGGCGGGCUUAACACAUGCAAGUCGAACGGAAAGGCCCUGCUUUUGUGGGGGGCUCGAGUGGCGAAAGGGUGAGUAACACGUGAGUAACCUGCCCUUGACUUUGGGAUAACUUCAGGAAACUGGGGCUAAUACCGGAUAGGAGCUCCUGCUGCAUGGUGGGGGUUGGAAAGUUUCGGCGGUUGGGGAUGGACUCGCGGCUUAUCAGCUUGUUGGUGGGGUAGUGGCUUACCAAGGCUUUGACGGGUAGCCGGCCUGAGAGGGUGACCGGCCACAUUGGGACUGAGAUACGGCCCAGACUCCUACGGGAGGCAGCAGUGGGGAAUAUUGCACAAUGGGCGGAAGCCUGAUGCAGCAACGCCGCGUGCGGGAUGACGGCCUUCGGGUUGUAAACCGCUUUCGCCUGUGACGAAGCGUGAGUGACGGUAAUGGGUAAAGAAGCACCGGCUAACUACGUG